rnacentral:rRNA from 1 species
AUACGUAGGGGGCAAGCGUUAUCCGGAUUUACUGGGUGUAAAGGGAGCGUAGACGGCAUGGCAAGCCAGAUGUGAAAACCCAGGGCUCAACCUUGGGAUUGCAUUUGGAACUGCCGGGCUGGAGUGCAGGAGAGGUAAGCGGAAUUCCUAGUGUAGCGGUGAAAUGCGUAGAUAUUAGGAGGAACACCAGUGGCGAAGGCGGCUUACUGGACUGUAACUGACGUUGAGGCUCGAAAGCGUGGGGAGCAAACAGGAUUAGAUACCCUGGUAGUCCACGCGGUAAACGAUGAUUGCUAGGUGUAGGUGGGUAUGGACCCAUCGGUGCCGCAGCUAACGCAAUAAGCAAUCCACCUGGGGAGUACGUUCGCAAGAAUGAA